CGAAAGCCUGACGGAGCAAGACCGCGUGAGGGAGGAAGGCUCUUGGGUUGUAAACCUCUUUUCUCAGGGAAGAAGCUCUGACGGUACCUGAGGAAUCAGCCUCGGCUAACUCCGUGCCAGCAGCCGCGGUAAUACGGAGGAGGCAAGCGUUAUCCGGAAUUAUUGGGCGUAAAGAGUCCGUAGGUGGUUCAUCAAGUCUGCUGUUAAAGCGUGCAGCUCAACUGCAUAUAGGCAGUGGAAACUGUUGAACUAGAGUAUGGUAGGGGUAGGGGGAAUUCCCAGUGUAGCGGUGAAAUGCGUAGAGAUUGGGAAGAACACCGGUGGCGAAAGCGCCCUACUGGGCCAUAACUGACACUGAGGGACGAAAGCUAGGGGAGCG
rnacentral:rRNA from 1 species